GAGAUUUAAUUAAGCUGGCUACACACGUAGAUGCAACGAGGAAAAGACUUACGGACAGGGGUUCGAUUCCCCUCGUCUCCACCA
rnacentral:tRNA from 1 species